rnacentral:rRNA from 1 species
UACGGGAGGCAGCAGUGGGGAAUAUUGCACAAUGGGCGAAAGCCUGAUGCAGCUAUGCCGCGUGUAUGAAGAAGGCCUUAGGGUUGUAAAGUACUUUCAUCGGGGAGGAAAAAACAAAACUAAUAAUUUUAUUUCUUGACGUUACCCGAAAAAGAAGCACCGGCUAACUCCGUGCCAGCAGCCGCGGUAAUACGGAGGGUGCUAGCGUUAAUCAGAAUUACUGGGCGUAAAGAGCACGUAGGUGGUUUUUUAAGUCAGAUGUGAAAUCCCUGGGCUUAACCUAGGAACUGCAUUUGAAACUGAAAUACUAGAGUAUCGUAGAGGGAGGUAGAAUUCUAGGUGUAGCGGUGAAAUGCGUAGAUAUCUGGAGGAAUACCUGUGGCGAAAGCGGCCUCCUAAACGAAUACUGACACUGAGGUGCGAAAGCGUGGGGAGCAAACAGGGAUUAGAUACC